AUAUCAGAGACAGGGAGCUGGGGUAAGCCCGGCUGAGAGAGUGGCCAUAUGUGGCGUCAGUGCGACGCCAGAAUCGCCACUGACCUGCGAACCUGAUCCGGGUAAUGCCGGCGUAGGAAUAACUCAUUUAAGCGAA
rnacentral:ncRNA from 2 species